rnacentral:rRNA from 1 species
UACGUAGGGGGCAAGCGUUGUCCGGAUUUAUUGGGCGUAAAGCGCUCGCAGGUGGCCCGAUGCGUCGUGCGUGAAAGACCCCGGCUCAACUGGGGAGUGUCGUGCGAUACGGUCGGGCUGGAGGCCAGUAGGGGGAUGCGGAAUUCCAGGUGUAGCGGUGAAAUGCGUAGAUAUCUGGAGGAACACCGGUGGCGAAGGCGGCGUCCUGGACCAACACUGACACUGAGGAGCGAAAGCCAGGGGAGCAAACGGG